rnacentral:lncRNA from 1 species
UUUGGACAAGAUUUGAAUGACUUGUGCAUGGUUACUCUUCAUAGUUCCAUUUGGAUGAAUCACAUGAUCAUUUCUCAAUUACAAAUGCAUGACCUCAUGUUAGACUUUCAACAUCAUUCAUGAUCAUUUUUGGACCUGAUUACAUCAUCUCAUAGGCCUAUCACACUCUCAUUCAAGCAUGCACUUCACAUUUCUAUUUUUGGCCAAAGUUUGGAAGUGUGUGAAAAUCAAUGAACAUGGCCAUGAAUACAUAACCUUGGUGAUCAAAAUGAGG